rnacentral:tRNA from 1 species
GGAGAGGUGGCAGAGUGGUCGAAUGCAUCGGUUUUGAAAACCGACAUAGUUCAAAGCUAUCGAGGGUUCGAAUCCCUCCUUCUCCG